ACAUGGUUCUAAGCUGACAAUCUGUCAGAGUUUUCUGUGUUCUCUUUAGGCGUACCUACAAUCCAGGGUUCUGGGACCUUCAUGGAAUUCCAGGUAAAGGUGACUGUGAAUCUUUACUACAGCAGGAGUGAGGAGUCUUCCUGGAUCCCAGUGCCUGAGCAAGCAGGAACUGCAGCUUGAACAUGGCUGAACAAAAUGGUGGAAGGGAA